UGGGGGAUAUUGCACAAUGGGCGCAAGCCUGAUGCAGCGACGCCGCGUGGGGGAUGAAGGCCUUCGGGUUGUAAACUUCUUUUGCUCUGAACAAGGCGCACUUUGGGGUGUGUUGAGUGUAGGGGUUGAUUAGCGCCGGCUAACUACGUGCCAGCAGCCGCGGUAAUACGUAGGGCGCGAGCGUUGUCCGGAAUUAUUGGGCGUAAAGGGCUUGUAGGUGGCUGGUUGCGUCUGUCGUGAAAGCUCAUGGCUUAACUGUGGGUUUGCGGUGGGUACGGGCUGUCUUGAGUGCAGUAGGGGAAGCUGGAAUUCCUGGUGUGGGGGUGGAAUGCGCAGAUAUAAGGAGGAAUACCGGUGGCGAAGGCGGGUCUCUAGGCUGUUACUGACACUGAGGAGCGAAAGCAUGGGGAGCGAACAGG
rnacentral:rRNA from 1 species